rnacentral:rRNA from 1 species
AUGGGGGAAACCCUGAUGCAGCAACGCCGCGUGAGGUAUGAAGGCCUUUGGGUGUGUGAAGCCUCUGUCCUAGGGGAAGAAAAAAAUGACGGUACCCGAGAGGAAGCCCCGGCUAACUACGUGCCAGCAGCCGCGGUAAUACGUAGGGGGCAAGCGUUAUCCGGAAUUAUUGGGCGUAAAGAGUGCGUAGGUGGUCUACUAAGCGCGAGGUGAAAGGCAAUGGCUCAACCAUUGUUAGCCUUGUGAACUGGCAGACUUGAGUGCAAGAGAGGAAAGCGGAAUUCCUAGUGUAGCGGUGAAAUGCGCAGAUAUUAGGAGGAACACCGGCGGCGAAGGCGGCUUUCUGGAUUGUAACUGACACUGAGGCACGAAAGCGUGGGUAGCAAACAGGAUUAGAUACCCUGGUAGUCCACGCCGUAAACGAUGAGCACUAGGUGUCGGGACAUGAGUCUCGGUGCCGCAGUUAACGCAUAAGUGCUCCGCCUGGGGAGUACGCACGCCAGUGUAAAACUCAAAGGAAUUGACGGGGACCCGCACAAGCAGC